GUAGAAGUAACGUCGUUGUAAACAUUCCCGAGAAUAUCUUCGCCGUUUAUAUCAAAUAGAAUGUCAUUUGCGUAUUAAUUUCUCAUCGGUAGAGACGUACAUACAUAUGUAUGCGUAUAACUUAAGAAAAAUCUUUUAAAACGUGAUUUGUCUUGUUCGAUUUUAAUUUCUAUUGUGAGUUAAAAAAGUUUUAUCAAAAAAAAAAAAAAGAGAAAGAAAAAGAGAAGGAGAGAGAGAGAGAGAGAGAGAGGCAGAGAGAAAGGGGGAAAAAAAAGAAAAAAUUCAACGUUAGAACGAUAUCAUAUAAUUGUGAAAGAUCCUGCGGACUGUAGUGCUAUCAUCUCUACUACAUGGAGAAAGAGCAAAAGACUAACAUCUGCCUCAAGAGUUCGAGGUCGAGUGGCCGGAACAGAAUCACGGGAAUUCAAGAUGCUUAAAGCGUUUCAACGACUCAUCAUCACAAAUUCUUAGAGCCCACGUUGCAGCUGGCUUGGAUCGACCGAUAGAAAUCCACGAAAGCUCGCCGGUACCUUUGGUAAAGGCGGCGAUCAUCUCGUGGCAAAAGGGAAGCAAUCGCGAUUCCUCGCGAGUACGGUGUCGGUGUCGUCCAAUAAAACUGCCCCGUAACGUGUAUACCGUAUAGCUGUUAGCCCUAAGGCUCACCCUUUCUUGUGGAAGCUCUCGUGGCAGUAACCGGCAACAACUUAGACGAGGAGACGAGGAGUAUGUAAAAGUAUAUACAUACAUACGUGUACACGAGGUGCAUCCGUAAGGAUGCUUACCUGUAAACGACUAUUUUGCAUACAGUAACGUGGCUGCAUUCAGAACGUAGCAGCCGCCACCGCCUCCUUUUGCCUACCCGUCGGCUUACUUUCGAUUUUCUUUGCGAGUACGCGAGGAUAGCCGAGAGUACGCCAUGUGCAUACCGAUUCAACGCUGCACCUACCGUCACCUUGUUGCCGUUGCCGUUGCAACUUUUGCUGUUGUUGCUGUUCGCGACGAUGCGUACGCGCUGACAAUGCCUUAUAGCUCUAAUGGAACCACGUCGUUGUCGUCUCUGUGGGAAUGACGUUCGAACGCUGCCGUUCUGGCUUCUAUUCCUUCUGGCAACCAAUGUCCGAGGGGGGGAGAAGGAAGAGGAGAAUGAAGAGGAGGACAAGCGUUGAAUUAUUUCGCGUGCGUUUUAUUGACGUGCUAAAGCAAAUACUUACCUCCCACUAUUUGAAAAUUCGAUGACACUAGAAGAUAAAAACGAAGAUAUUUAGAGAAAUACAUUACUAAAUUGUGAAUAAUUUAAUAUCGUUAUUGCGUUUUUAUCAUGUUUCGAAAAUUGAGAAAGUUUUCAAAUGAAAAGUUUAAAGAAGAGAAAGGUUGAGUGGAGGGGAUUCUGUCGUCGACCGAUAUUAUCGUAUUUACUUUGUCCGAAUAAAAAGGUUAAAAAAAAGAAAGAAAGAGAGAGAAAGAGAGAGAGAGAGAGAGAGAGAGAGAGAAAGAAAUAAUGAGUGAAAGAGAUGGAGAGAAAGAGAGUGAAAGAAAGGAGCGAGAAUUACACCUUGGCACGCAAGAAAGGUAGAAAGGGGUUCAGCGUGUGCGCACGCACGUAAGCAAUGUGCCUGCUAUCCGAGCAAAAACGAGACAGAAUCUUCUCUAGCAUCGCUUGGUUGCCCUCUUUUCCUUCUUCUCUUUUCCGCGUCCACUCUAGAAUCUGAACACGGUCACCCAAGUCGUCGAAUAACUCUAUUCGUUGCACUUAGCACGCUCGUGUUCGCUAUCGUCGCUAACUUUCCUAAUAUCGAAGUGGAUAAUUAAUUACAAGCGCCGAGUUAGAGUUAGAGUUAGAAUUAGAUUUACACAGAGAAAGAGAGAGAGAGAGAGAGAGAGAGAGAGAGAAGAAAGAGAGAAAGAUAAAGAGAGAAAGCAACGCUCGAGCUAAUCGCAACGCAUCUUCCGACAUUCACGAGCUCGUUUUUAUAUCGCGAUCAUCGGUGCGUGGGCGUGCUACCGCCGACUAUUAAUUCGCCUUAUUUCGUGAAAUCACGAUCGUUCUACUAAAACGAUUUCUUUAGCAAGCUAGUAGAGGUCAUUAUCGUGUCCGUUAAUUAAUAUUUCUUCUUGAGGGAAUGGUAGUCAGAAUACUUUCUAGAUUCUUCGUGUAUUCAUACAUACAUACAUACAUACAUACAUACAUACAUACAUACAUACAUACAUACAUACAUACAUACAUACAUACAUACAUACAUACAUACAUACAUACAUACAUACAUACAUACAUACAUAUUUACUAUUAAUCUUAUUAAAUAAAAGAAUAGACCAGAACCUGGUAGUUAUCUGUUGUAACCUUAUUUUCAUUUUCUCUUUCUCAGAAGAUGAGAUUAAAGAAGAGUUUUGAGAGAGAGAGAGAGAGAGAGAGAGAGAGAGAGAGAAAUAAAUAAAUAAAAACAAAAGAUCGUUGGAUCUUUCGCGGUUCAAUGCACGUAACUAGAUUUUGCGAUCGAUCCCGAUCUUCCGGGUGUCCUUUUCUACUUUCAAACGAACUCGAAUGAACGCGGACUCCUGUAUCGCGUAAUUUUAGCUCGGGACAGAUCAGGUGUUACGUUGCCUCGGGAGCACAUUAAUCAUUCAACGUGCACCAACGAUACAAACCACGUUGGGAGAUGGAGAGAAAGAAGAAGAGGCAAAAUGUGUUGGUGUUGGAGGAGGAAAAGGAAAAAGAAGAAGAGGAGAAGAAGAAGGUGGAAAAGGAGGCCCGCGAGACUGCUGAGCACCAAGAAGGCAUCAUAGUUUCUAUUUCUUGGUAUUGCACUACGACCGGACGAGUUCAUCGUACCGACCGCAACCCUGAACUUCACGGCAGUGCGUUAAAGUGAUAUAGGGCCAAGAAGCCAGUCGACGUUCAUGUGCUUUUGUAUAUGUUUGUGCGUGAGUAAGUACGUGUUUGCGUGUAUAUGCGUGCAAGGGCGCGCGCGCGCGCGCGCGCGUUGCGGCCGCUGGCAUUAAAUUCGCUAACGAACGUUACGUGGUUUAUAAUCGCUUAGCUGGCCGAACCGUAACGAUUACACGAAGAAUUAUAGUCGUCCACUGUCGCGGAGAAUUCUACGCGUUUUCAUCAGGGACCGUCUUCUCUCUUUUAACUCGAAAAGAUUAACAGUCCGAUCCCUUUAGACUCGGAACGCCUUCUCGACGCCUUCGGAGCCGCUCCUUCGAUGAUAAUCGCGAUAUCGUUAACGAUGAAAAUAAAUAAUAAAAUAAAUCACGUGGCUUCUGUUAUACCUUUUACGUUUUUUUUCUUUCCUUUACGAAAAAAAAAAAAAAAAAAAAUACGAUCGAAAAACGUUUUCGUUCUUUCUUUUUUCUCUCUUUUUUAUUUUUUUUCUUUUUUUUUUUUUUUUUUUUUUUCUUUCUUUACCCUUUUAUAACCCAAUUUUAUUUCGCUCCCUAAAAAUAAAAAGAUUUCUAUAAUGCGAAAUUCGCAAUAUAA